AACGUGGUCGACGUGGCAGAUCGAAGAGCGUCCAGAUGAUCAAGAAACAGUUACCACUUUGUAGUAGUAUUUAUAAUAGUUUUUCAUUCAGAACAAAGGUCACAAAAUUUUAUACAAACACUCUCUCUAAAAUUCUAAGUACUCAGCGAUCGAACGAACGGAAUUCAGAGGAGAAAUGUAUGUUUUGUGAACCAUCUUU
rnacentral:lncRNA from 1 species